UACGUAGGGUGCAAGCGUUAAUCGGAAUUACUGGGCGUAAAGCGUGCGCAGGCGGUUAUGCAAGACAGAUGUGAAAUCCCCGGGCUUAACCUGGGGAACCGCAUUUGUGACUGCAUAGCUGGAGUACGGCAGAGGGGGAUGGAAUUCCGCGUGUAGCAGUGAAAUGCGUAGAUAUGCGGAGGAACACCGAUGGCGAAGGCAGUCCCCUGGGCCUGUACUGACGCUCAUGCACGAAAGCGUGGGGAGCAAACAGG
rnacentral:rRNA from 1 species